CCCGGGCCCGGGCUCGGUGGCCCCUGGCCUGCUCCGUCCGCCUGGGAGGGCCGUGUGCGGGCGGCGCGCUGCUCCGGCCCCCGGAGGGGGACAAGCUCACGGAGCAGGCACCCACAGCGCAGGUGACAGACACCCGGCACUGUUCCUCCGGCACCUGGUCCACGCCGUGCCCCCUGCGUCCCUGGGGCCCCACGGCCAUCCUCAGGCAGGGGCCCCUCUCCCCGGGUUCAAGGGCCGGCCGAGUCCCCACGGGACCCUGCCGCAGGAGAGCCCUGCACCUGCCUGCUCGCGGGCCGCAGGGUCGGUGGGCUCCCCGCGGCGGGACGCGCGGGCUGCGCGUGGAGAAGGGGACAUCCCCGCCGAGCCGGCCACCCCGGGGCCCCUGGACUAGGGGGUGCCGUCGGGCGAGCUGCGCUGGCGGGGCACCCGAGGUAGGAGAACGCGGACGAGGCACUUCCUCGGGGGAAGGACGGCAGAGUCCCCGCGGGCUUGCCCACCCGGCCCCGCUGCCCCUGAGCUCCCGGACAGGCCGGCUGUCACUUCCCCCACUUCCCCGAGCGUCUUGCCCUCGGGGCGCACCUCUCCCGACUGCUCCCGCCUCGCGCCCCUCUGGGUGCCCGGCGCUGCCCUGCGCGGGGAGCGGGGCGGAGGGGGGCGCUGUGUGCGCGGAGUUCCUGGAGCGCGGCGGUCGCACGAAUCCUCACGACGGCCGCUUCCCAAGUCUGAGAUGCAAACUUGCACUACUAGUUUUCUUUAAGUCAGUCCACUUUCAUUUUGACCCAAAAUGUACUCAGAGUGAAACUUUAUGCUUCGAUCAAAGGUUUUCAUUGGUAUAAAUGGUUGACAGUGUAGCGUUCAAUCAUUUCGGAGAAUGUGUUUACAUAAUCACGGGUAAGGCUUCUCUGUUUAUUAAGAAAAUUGCCACAGCCCAUUAAGAAGGGAAAUUCAAUUUAAUAUACAUUUCGUCUUCUUUAAUAUUCCGAUAACUUACUAUAGUUUAAAGCUGACAUUAAAAGCUUUAAGUUCCAACGUGUAUAUGCUCAAUCUCACACAUAAAAUAUGUUAGUAGCGAUAUUUUGGAAGCUUACAGGUGAUAAAACAUCUCUAGUUCAAAAAGGAUGGAUCUUUAGGUUUUGUGCCCUAUCAGUGAUUGAAAUCAUUUCAACAAACUGAUUUCUUGUGUCCCUUUUAAACCUCUUCACCUGUCACUUGUACUUGCAUCUAUGUUAAAUAUUUGCACAACAAAAUAACACCAUAACUAUUUUAUUCUCGUUAGGCACUCCGGUGUCAUCAUACCUCAAUGGGACACCAAGGUUUCUCUGUCAAAAAUGUUCCUGCAACGGACUCUGUUUUCCUUCUACGGAUU